CGGACCGGCGCACGGGUGAGUAACGCGUAUGCAACCUGCCCGUUUCAGCGGGAUAACCCGGAGAAAUCCGGCCUAAUACCGCAUGUGGCCGAGGGGAGGCAUCUUCUUUCGGCCAAAGGAGGCGACUCCGGAGACGGAUGGGCAUGCGUGACAUUAGCUUGUUGGCGGGGUAACGGCCCACCAAGGCGACGAUGUCUAGGGGUUCUGAGAGGAAGGUCCCCCACACUGGUACUGAGACACGGACCAGACUCCUACGGGAGGCAGCAG
rnacentral:rRNA from 1 species